rnacentral:rRNA from 1 species
AUUGAACGCUGGCGGCAUGCCUUACACAUGCAAGUCGAACGGUAACGCGGGGGCAACCCUGGCGACGAGUGGCGAACGGGUGAGUAAUACAUCGGAACGUACCCAGUAGUGGGGGAUAGCUCGGCGAAAGCCGGAUUAAUACCGCAUACGACCUAUGGGUGAAAGCGGGGAUCGCAAGACCUCGCGCUAUUGGAGCGGCCGAUGUCGGAUUAGCUAGUUGGUGAGGUAAAGGCUCACCAAGGCUACGAUCCGUAGCUGGUCUGAGAGACGACCAGCCACACUGGGACUGAGACACGGCCCAGACUCCUACGGGAGGCAGCAGUGGGGAAUCUUGCGCAAUGCGCGAAAGCGUGACGCAGCAACGCCGCGUGGAGGAAGAAGGCC